AACGAACGCUGGCGGCAGGCUUAACACAUGCAAGUCGAGCGCAUCCUUCGGGGUGAGCGGCGGACGGGUGAGUAACGCGUGGGAACGUGCCCUCUUCUACGGAAUAGCCUCGGGAAACUGAGAGUAAUGCCGUAUACGCCCGCAAGGGGAAAGAUUUAUCGGAGGAGGAUCGGCCCGCGUUGGAUUAGGUAGUUGGUGGGGUAACGGCCUACCAAGCCGACGAUCCAUAGCUGGUUUGAGAGGAUGAUCAGCCACACUGGGACUGAGACACGGCCCAGACUCCUACGGGAGGCAGCAGUGGGGAAUCUUGGGCAAUGGGGGCAACCCUGAUCCAGCCAUGCCGCGUGAUCGAUGAAGGCCUUAGGGUUGUAAAGAUCUUUCAGCUGGGAAGAUAAUGACGGUACCAGCAGAAGAAGCCCCGGCUAACUCCGUG
rnacentral:rRNA from 1 species